GCUUCUGGGAUAAUUAGGGGUCCCUAGGAGUUCAGAAGUAUUCCUAGGGUUUCCAGAAGAGAUGGCCCUGGAAUGUUAAGUCAGGGAGAGAGGAUCCAAGAGAUGGCAUAGAAGAUGACCGGCGCCAUGGGUCUGAGGUGCACCAAGCCUUCCAGACAGCUGACUGGCAUGCCCCCUGACUUGCUCUCACAAUUACUGGCAUGCCUGCGGGAGCCCCUCGGUACCACUCACUCUUGAUGUGGAGGCACAGUUGAUUGGGCAGAUGUCCUUAGGAAGCGAUAUCUCAAUGAAGCGAUUCCAAAUAGGGUGCAUUUGCACUCCCUUCCAUUAGCAGCAGACUAAAACGAGCGUUACAUUGUCAGAAGCUGAACUUCUGAACUCUGGGAUUCUCAGGAAGAGGCUCCAAGUGAAGACAGGCCAUGUUUCACAAUUAAAAAUGUGGGGAAGCAUCCCUUAGAGCUCA